UACGCAGGGAGCUAGCGUUGUUCGGAAUCACUGGGCGUAAAGCGCACGUAGGCGGGCUUGUAAGUCAGGGGUGAAAUCCCGGGGCUCAACCUCGGAACUGCCUCUGAUACUGCAAGUCUCGAGUCCGGAAGAGGUGCGUGGAAUUCCUAGUGUAGAGGUGAAAUUCGUAGAUAUUAGGAAGAACACCGGGGGAGAAGGAGGCCCACUGGUCCGGUACUGACGCCGAUGUGCGAAGGCAUGGGGAGAAAACAGG
rnacentral:rRNA from 1 species